rnacentral:rRNA from 1 species
GACGUAGGGGACGAGCGUUGUCCGGAUUCAUUGGGCGUAAAGCGCGCGUAGGCGGCCACGCAAGUCGGGUGUGAAAUCCCGGAGCUCAACUCCGGAACUGCACUCGAAACUGCGCGGCUUGAGGUAGGUAGGGGAGAUCGGAAUUCCUGGUGUAGCGGUGGAAUGCGCAGAUAUCAGGAGGAACACCGGUGGCGAAGGCGGAUCCCUGGGCCUUACCUGACGCUGAGACGCGAAAGCUAGGGGAGCGAACAGG